UUCCUAAAAAUCUGAUGUGUGGGGUAGGUCUUUGACCAAGGCUGUAGGGAUGCGGUGAGGAGCAAAACAUUUUCAUUCAGUUCUCAACCCGACAAGAGAAAUACUGUUGAGACCAACUUUACACCUGAAAACUGGGGCAUGGAGCAAUAAAGAAAUUUGUCUAAGGCUACAACUAGUAAGUGGUAGAGACAGAAUCGGAGUCCAGGUUGGCCUGGACCAUACGAGGCCUCCAUGAAGAGAAAAGACACUGGCCUGACUUCAGUGGUGGCAAGCAGAUAUCUCACUAAGCCAUCCCUCUAACCUGAGAAGUGGUAGCAUAAGGCUGAGGAGGGGGAGAGGGGACACAACAGCUCUGCCAGUUAGUGUGGAUUAAAGCACUGAACCAGAAGUACCUGGUUUGCAUGGAUACCAGUUGCCUUGGACUUGACCGCAUUUCAAGUCCACUGUAGGGUUCAAGAGAUCUACUGGCUCAGGGUUUCACACAGGUCUGCCUUGCUGAUAAAUGUGUUGGAGCUUUUGUGUAUUUGGCUGGAAAUAAGCAAAAAAUAAAUGAGCCAAACCCCUUAUUGUACAAACCCAGAAAAUCCUGGAGACUUAGUCUGGGGGGCUCAGGAUGAGAAAGCAAAUUGUGGCCUCUGAAUGCCGCUCCCGUGGAUGCGAGCACCUCUUGUUCCUGAGUUAACACCAGAGCUGGAUGGAGGCUGGUGAGCUUGGGGUCUUGGGGACCAUGGAGUCUUAGAGUGGGCUCUCCUGGGAGCCUUUCUGCUCCUCAGAUAGAGUGGGGUCUCCUGCCUUGGGGCGUCCAUUGUAGCCCUGCACGCUGGCCUUUUUUCAUAACUGAAGCUGUAUCCAUCCUGGGGAUGUGGGUAUCCUAAGGGCAGGGCGGGCCUCUCCCCAGUGCCUGGCACUGGGCCAGAACCCUAAGGGCAGCUCCACACUGUGAGUAGGGGCCUGAGCCCAGACUGCAGAAGGACAAGACAAAGGCAGGCCCAGCAGGCAGCCUGGCAGCCACAGGAGAGCUCCAGAUACCCUCCAGCACUGGCAGGGCAGCUGUUAAGCCCUGGCUCCAUGGGCACAUAUCAGCGCCAGUCCCCGCAGCCCCCUUCCUUGGGGUCCAGCACUCCGACCUGGCCAACCCACAGCCAGAGCACGCUGGGCAGAGCUUCUUGCCAAGGAAGGCUCUUGCCAUUUCUGAGCAGGUGCUCUGGCUCUAGGAAAGAGGGAAGCUUCUCUGUGGAUAUGUGGGGGAGGGAGGGAGAAAGGGAAGGCCUGUUCAUGCAGGUGGCAGCAGGGCGUUUUGAGUCGCUCCAGAACUAGCCUGGGGACUUGGGGUGGGAAAUGGGUUGGGCAGAUGGAGUAGGGAAGUCCACUUGUUGCCAGGUAAGUUUGGUGGAGGAUAAACAAGCAAUUCUGCCUAAAGAGUCACAGUAAAGAGCCCUUGGUACAAGAUCCUAUGGGAUCUAAGGGGAGGAGCCGAAGUCAGCAUGCAGUAUUGGGAAUGCUUCCAGAGACAGACACCUCUAAUAUUUUUGAAGGCUGCCACGGGGUCUGUGGGUGGACAGGGAAAGGGCAUUCCAACCAAGACACAUGCAUAAGCAUGAGAGAGUAGGUGGGUGCAUGGAUGGGUGAAGUUGGGGCUGGUGAGAUCCAGGAGCCAACAAACAAAGCUCCUGCCAGUAAUACCCACACGAGAAUCCUGUGCCCAGAGGCAGUUUGGAGGACUAAGAAGUCCACAGUUGCGUCACUGCCUUCCUCUCCUGGGUCAUAGGCCUCUUCUUGGCACCUCCAGAAAAGGUGAAAACAAACGGCUGCCCAGGACACCUAUCUAGGGUGGAGGCCUCUUCCCCACUACCCCAGGGGCCAGGCCAUGGCCCUGAGGUUUCUUCUGUCUCCCUGCAGAACAGAACCAUAACCCACCUUAAAUUACAACUCGGUACAUACCCACAGAAGCAGCAUUUCUCAAAACCUAAGCUACCCUCGGCUUGUAUAAAGCACUCUAAUUUAUUUAUUUUCUAUCCUGUCCUUUUUUUUUUUUUUUUCAAUGCUUGUCUCAACCCACAAAAUUGCUUUUAUAACCCAUGAGUGAAUUGUACCUGCAGUUUGGAAACACUGCCCUGGAAAGGCAUCUGCCUGCUCUUCUCCAGCCCCUCUUCCCGGAAGGAACACCGAAAUGAGGGCGCCUGCGUCCUGGUGAAGCCAGCUCCAGCUCAUCCUCCCAGUCUGGCUCGGCGCGAAGACUCCACAGCACCUUUCAGCAAAGCCCGGGACCUUGCGAUGCACCAGUCGGCUCCUGUCCUCCUCCCCAGUCGUGCGUUCCUCAGGGGCAGGUGUUGGAGGCUAGGCUAGCCUUUGACCGGGAGUGGGACCCGGAGGUGAGGCCAGCUCUCAGACAUCAACCAAAGGACCCACUGCAUCUCCCUCCUUCCCCUGCCAACAAAGGUACAAGUAGAUGUUGACACCCCCUCAGACAUGGAAGGAGACCCAUUUUUUUCUUUUUCUAGUUCUGCAUAAAUGGCCUUAAACAAAAUAUGCUAACAGGCUCCUUGCCUCUCCCGAAGGCAGCCCACCACAGAAGCCCUGCCACAGCCCAAGAGGUUAGAUGCUGCCAGGAUCUGUUUCCGCCACAGAGCAGCUCUGUGCAGCACAUUCCUGCCAACCACCCCAAGUGCUUCAGGGCUUCCGAGGCAGUGACAGUGAGGGCAGCGGCACUUCUGGGUCACCGUGGGACAGGUCUCUGCCUCAAGACACGGAUUGACAAGCUCUCUGAGUGGGCCAGGAGCUCCUUAAUGUGAGCCAAGCCCAGCCCUGCCACCUUGGCCCCAUUCAUCUCCAGGAUCUCGUCGCCCACCCCCAGCAGCCCUGAGUACAGCUUGGCCGUGCUCACGUCAGCCAUCUCCUGCACGUAGAUCCCUGCAAAGGAAAACGGGAGAAUUUCACAAUGACACCCAAAUCGAAGAAGUGCAUCUCUGGAACGCUGACCAUGUUGGUGAGGUGCUGUUUGUGUGGCACAGGGAGGAGGUGCUCAUAGCGGGCACUUCUCUGCGCUCAUGCACACACACACAUACCUCUCAUUAUUCCACCUCACAGCCGCAACUGGCUUUAGACAGUGCGCCUCCUCCACAGUCUAACUUCAUUCCACUGUCUCUGCUUUUAAAGUGGAAAUGCUCCUAGUGCAAAUAACGCGUUAAAUUGUUGUUAUUUAUUUAUACCUGACUGUGAGUGAGCUAAUCUUUUUCUGAGAUGAGUUUUGCUUGUAGAAUAGGAAGGAAAAUAGUUUUUAAAAAUUAGGAACCAUACCUACUCGGUGCCUGGCACUAUGAUCCAGUUGCUGCCUCAGGUUGCCCAGGCCCAGCAUAAAGGUCGGGGUGGUGGGAAGGUAUCAUCGGAAAAGCAAAAGUGGCUGAGCCACAUCCAAGCCUGGUUUGCUGCACUCUAUUGCCCAAGAGUGACCCUGGCCUCAGUCUUACUCAGAUAUGGUUCCUCAAUUGGGAUGGGAAAACAUCUGAGCAAAAAAACCCAGGAAAAAUAAAAAUUCUAGCCACAUA